rnacentral:rRNA from 1 species
GAUUAACGCUAGCGGCAGGCCUAAUACAUGCAAGCCGAACGGCAGCACGGGUAGCAAUACCUGGUGGCGAGUGGCGCACGGGUGCGUAACGCGUAUGCAACCUACCUAUAACCGGGGAAUAGCCUUCUGAAAGGAAGAUUAAUACCGCAUAAUAUCACUGGACUGCAUCGCCCGGUGAUCAAAACUCCGGUGGUUAUAGAUGGGCAGGCGUGACAUUAGCUAGUUGGUGAGGUAACGGCUCACCAAGGCUACGAUGUCUAGGGGGUCUGAGAGGAUGAUCCCCCACACUGGUACUGAGACACGGACCAGACUCCUACGGGAGGCAGCAGUAAGGAAUAUUGGACAAUGGGCGCAAGCCUGAUCCAGCCAUGCCGCGUGAAGGAUGACGGCCCUCUGGGUUGUAAACUUCUUUUAUACGGGAAUAAACCCCUCGAUUCUUCGGGGGCUGAAUGUACUGUAAGAAUAAGGAUCGGCUAACUUCGUGCCAGCCGCCGCAGUAA